UAAGUUGGCUCAGUGGUUAGAGCGUAGGUCUCAUAACCGAAAGGUCGCGGGAUCGAAUCCCGCUAGAGGCUGAA
rnacentral:tRNA from 1 species